GCCCGUCUAGCUCAUCGGUAGAGCGCUUCACUAGUAAUGAAGAGGCGAUCAGUUCGAUUCUGAUGAUGGGCA